rnacentral:lncRNA from 1 species
GCCCACCUCCGUGCGCCAAUCCGCGCCCUCUGCCCUCUGCACGGACCCUGCUUCCCAGGGGCCGCUCCCGCACUCUUCGGGUCCCUUUCUGCCGCCGUCAGCGCAAAGUGACUGUCGCUGCACUCACCUUUUCUAGGACAUGGUGGGGAGGCUGGGGCGGAGGGAGAGGGGCAGCGAGACUCCCGCCGCCGCCACUGCUGCCGCCACUAGCAAGUCCAAUAUUAGCUGGCCUGCAGUGAGGAUGGAGAGGAUGAUAAUCCCGGCAGUCACCCUACUGACGGCCAGUUCCCAGCUUUGUGGAAGAAGGAUAAAGAGCAGAGGGGAAGAAGACAGCACUAGAAUGGUUCUCUGCAGCCAUUGAAAUUCUUCUGGUGAUCCGACUCCUGCAUCAGAGGGCUUCAUUUGAUUUCUCCAAUCUCAUUUCCUUCUACCCAACGUGACUGUCUUCCAGGAACGGUGAGUCCCUCUCUGUCUAUGUGAGUAGACAGAGUCUCAUCUCAUC